rnacentral:rRNA from 1 species
UGGGGUAUCUUGCACAAUGGGGGCAACCCUGAUGCAGCGACGCCGCGUGAGCGAUGAAGGUUUUCGAAUCGUAAAGCUCUGUCCUAUGGGAAGAUAAUGACGGUACCAUAGGAGGAAGCCCCGGCUAACUACGUGCCAGCAGCCGCGGUAAUACGUAGGGGGCGAGCGUUGUCCGGAAUUACUGGGCGUAAAGGGUUCGCAGGCGGCCUGGCAAGUCCGAUGUAAAAGGCGAAGGCUCAACCUUCGUAAGCAUCGGAAACUGUCAAGCUUGAGUGAAGGAGAGGCAAGUGGAAUUCCUAGUGUAGCGGUGGAAUGCGUAGAUAUUAGGAGGAAUACCGGUGGCGAAGGCGACUUUCUGGACUUUUACUGACGCUCAGGUACGAAAGCGUGGGGAGCAAACAGG